rnacentral:rRNA from 1 species
UACGGGGGGGGCAAGCGUUGUUCGGAAUUACUGGGCGUAAAGGGCUCGUAGGUGGCCAAUUAAGUCAGACGUGAAAUCCCCAGGCUUAACCUGGGAACUGCGUCUGAUACUGACUGGCUUGAAUUCGGGAGAGGGAUGCAGAAUUCCAGGUGUAGCGGUGAAAUGCGUAGAUAUCUGGAGGAAUACCGGUGGCGAAGGCGGCAUCCUGGACCGAGAUUGACACUGAUGAGCGAAAGCCAGGGGAGCAAACGGG